GACGAACGCUGGCGGCGUGCCUAAUACAUGCAAGUAGAACGCUGAAGGAGGAGCUUGCUCUUCUGGACGAGUUGCGAACGGGUGAGUAACGCGUAGGUAACCUGCCUGGUAGCGGGGGAUAACUAUUGGAAACGAUAGCUAAUACCGCAUAACAGUAGAUGUUGCAUGACAUUUGCUUAAAAGGUGCAAUUGCACCACUACCAGAUGGACCUGCGUUGUAUUAGCUAGUUGGUGGGGUAACGGCUCACCAAGGCGACGAUACAUAGCCGACCUGAGAGGGUGAUCGGCCACACUGGGACUGAGACACGGCCCAGACUCCUACGGGAGGCAGCAGUAGGGAAUCUUCGGCAAUGGACGGAAGUCUGACCGAGCAACGCCGCGUGAGGGAAGAAGGUUUUCGGAUCGUAAAGCUCUGUUGUAAGAGAAGAACGAGUGUGAGAGUGGAAAGUUCACACUGUGACGGUAUCUUACCAGAAAGGGACGGCUAACUACGUG
rnacentral:rRNA from 1 species